UGCUUAUCAAUGAUGUUUCCAAAAUAAAUGUCUGAACAAAUGACAUCUAAUGAUUUAAUUUCGUACCUGAGAUAAGCG